GAGUGAUAGAGAGAGGGGAGAUGUUUUUCUUGUGUUUAACCCUCAGUAUAGUUUUUCCCAAAACGCAGCACAUGCCGAACCGUAACGAAACCGUGACACAAACCGAACCGUGAAUGCCGCGGAGAGGAAAGAGAUCUCAGGCUUAACAAAUGCGUCGGCGAAACGAAGACCUUGAAGAUGAACAGACCAGCCCCUCCAAGAUUAACAAGGUUUUAUGCCACUGAGCUACAAGAAAAGAAGAGCAGAAGCCACAGCAGCAUGAAGGACGACGAUAGGAGUAGACUGGCAGCUUCUGGGAGGACACCGGCAGCAGCACCAGCGAUAGACAGGAUACAGUGAGGAUUAGUGUAGCAGCUCCAGGGAGGCAGAAGAGUUUGGAGACAAUAGAAGUCCUGUCUGGAUGCGACUCUGCAAUAUAUCGUCCAAAGCUAAGUGUUUAAACAUUGAGCUUCAAUCACUGUACUACUGCACAUCAUAACCACAUUUGUAGAAAAAUGUUAAUCCUAAUCUAAUUUUGGUUUUGAUGUUUUUCAGCAAUUGUGCAGUUGAAGAUCAAGUGUGCUACAACACUGAUGAUGACAAUCUGACUACCAGCAUCUGUGGAUGGGACAAACUGUGUAUAGCACUGAAGACCAAAGCAAGGACAAUGCUGAAGACAGAAGAAGCAGAGAAAUAAGCAUACUAAAGCAGGAUAUCCAGCCUUUACGACGAAUCAGAUCAAGUGGCUAGACGGCGGGAGAUGCUUCCUUCAUCUAAUAAUUGGAUGACUAAUUAAUCUUAAUAUGUUUAUAAAUUGUUUGACCAUAUUACAUAAUUGGUUUGAUUUCUAAAUAUAUUAAUUUCACAUAUUAAGUAAGUAAAAUGAAUGUGUUCUUGAAAUGUGUGCGUCGUGCCAGAGGAGGAUGGGUCCCCCCUGCUGAGUCUGGUUCCUCUCAAGGUUUUUUACCUCCUAACUUUAUGGAGUUUUUUCCUUGCCACCGUCGCCAUUGGCUUGCUCACUGGGGGUGUUGUGCCAAAUCCCGUCUCUCUCUCGGGUCCCUUCCAACCAGGGUUUUCAAAACGGACGUUUUUAAUCAAAUAAAAAUUAUUAAAUAACCAGGGCUGCACAAUUAACUGCACAAUUAAUUGUGUAACAAUUAAUCAUGUUAUGGCUUAGUGACAAUCAAAACGUGUAUAUAUAUAUAUAUAUAUAUAUAUAUAUAUAUACGUAUCUAAAAAUAUAAUAUGAUAUUUAUUUAAAAAUCUAUAUGUAUCUAUAUUUAUAUGCAUGAUCAUGUAUAUUAUAGUAAAUAUAUCUUUAUUUAUUUAUGUAUAAUCAUCUAUAUAUAUAUUCUGAUGUAUUUGCAGGGUGAAGUUUGUCCAUUUUAUAAUCUGGUGUUUUCAGUGUCAAACUACAAAAAAAUAAUUAAAUACUGAAGGUUUGAAAAAAUGCCAUUAUUUGAAAAUUAAGAAUUUAUACCAAAUAAUAUUAGUAUUGUGAAAAUAAAUUUAAAAAAUCAUAUUUUAUUUUACAGUACAGUCGUCUUAUUGCAACAGUAAUGUUUCUGUCUUAAUUUUUUAUCAUUUUAAUAGCGGUAAUACAAUAAAUAUAGUAUUAAUUUUUUUAAUGACAUUACAAAAAAUAAUAUUUACUGUUAGCCAAUUAAAAGCUAUAGGAUCUAGCUGUGUGGCUGGGAUCGGGAUUGGUGGGGCGAGAUUUGGCAUAACAGGUGCUUUCCUUAAACUUUUUAAUAAACAUUUUAGGUGAAUU